rnacentral:lncRNA from 1 species
UGCUCAGGUCCCCUUCCACACUGUGGAAACUUUGUUCUUUCGCUCUUUGCAAUAAAUCUUGCUACUGCUCACUCUUUGGGUCCACACUGCCUUUAUGAGCUGUAACACUCACUGUGAAGGUCUGCAGCUUCACUCUUGAGGCCAGCGAGACCACGAACCCACCGGGAGGAAGGAGCAACUCCAGACGUGCCGCCUAAAGAGCUGUAACACCGCGAAGGUCCGCAGCUUCACUCCUGAGCCAGCGAGACCACGAACCCACCAAAAAGAACAAACUCCGAACACAUCCGAACAUCAGAAGGAACAAACUCCAGACACGCCACUUUUAAGAACUGUAACACUCACUGUGAGGGUCCGCAGCUUCAUUCUUGAAGUCAGUGAGACCAAGAACCCACCAAUUCCGGACACAAUUCCAACUAGGCAAUGUCAAAACUAGUUACUCUUGGGAGUCCGAGGCAGGUGGAUCAUGAGGUUAAGAGUUCAAGACCAGCCUGGCAAAGAUGGUGAAACCCCGUAUCUACUAAAAAUACAAAAAUUAGCCAGGUAUGGUGGUGGGCGCCUGUAAUCCCAGCUACUCGGGAGGCUGAGGCAGAGAAUUGCUUAAAGCUGGGAGGCAGAGGUUGCAGUGAGCCGAGAUCGUGCCACUGCACUCUAGCCUGGGCGACAGAAGGAGACUCUGUCUCAAAAACAAACAAACAAACAAAAAACCUAGUUACUCGACAACAUACCUGCUGUAAGCCCUGGACACUCAGACAUGAAGUGGAGAGAAGUGACUUGGAAAAUUUAAAAAGUGCUAUUUUAUGGGACAAAUUCUUACUGAAUCCACCAGAAAGUGGUAGAUGUGGGUCUUGAACUCAGGUCUGUGUGACUUGAAGCACAGUGUUUUCCACUGUACCCCAUGAAGGCACCAAGUCUGUGUGUGGGCACAGAAGUUGUAGAAUCUACUAUGAGAAGUUGGAAAAGCACUAAAUACAAAUUUUGACAAUUUGACAAUUUGCCUCAGGCUGCUCUGGUUUCUGGAAACCAGUUAAUGAUGGGAUGAUGUGGUAGAAAAUAUUAAUGAGGAUAACUGGUACUACAAAACUCCCACAGACACUCAGACAUUGCCUCAAACUUUCCCUAGAAAUCUACAAAUUAUUGUGACUAUACGAAGCAGUACUUAUUUAUUAGCUGCUGAGGCUGGACUAACGGUGGCAAUUGCUUUGGGGAUUUCACUACCAGGAGACAGAGAAUCUCCACAUAGGAAACCUGAGGUUUGCAAUGGGGUUUGCUGCUGGAGCAAGAAACAUUUAUCUUCUAACAUGAGGAACAUCUGCAAGAAUUCAGAUGUCUGUUUGGCUAUCUCUCUUUUCAUGAAAUAAGCCAG